rnacentral:tRNA from 1 species
GGGCGCGUAACUCAGCGGUAGAGUAUUACCUUCACACGGUAGGAGUCACAGGUUCGAAUCCUGUCGCGCCCACCA